CCUACGGGUGGCUGCAGUGGGGAAUAUUGGACAAUGGGGGGAACCCUGAUCCAGCCAUGCCGCGUGUGUGAAGAAGGCCCUCGGGUUGUAAAGCACUUUCAGUGAGGAAGAACGCCUGGUGGUUAAUACCCAUCAGGAAAGACAUCACUCACAGAAGAAGCACCGGCUAACUCCGUGCCAGCAGCCGCGGGAAUACGGAGGGUGCGAGCGUUAAUCGGAAUUACUGGGCGUAAAGCGCGCGUAGGUGGCUUGAUAAGCCGGUUGUGAAAGCCCCGGGCUCAACCUGGGAACGGCAUCCGGAACUGUCAAGCUAGAGUGCAGGAGAGGAAGGUAGAAUUCCCGGUGUAGCGGUGAAAUGCGUAGAGAUCGGGAGGAAUACCAGUGGCGAAGGCGGCCUUCUGGACUGACACUGACACUGAGGUGCGAAAGCGUGGGUAGCAAACAGGAUUAGAUACCCGUGUAGUC
rnacentral:rRNA from 1 species